GAAAUGCGAUAAGUAAUGUGAAUUGCAGAAUUCAGUGAAUCAUCGAAUCUUUGAACGCACCUUGCUCUCCUUGGUAUUCCGAGGAGCAUGCCUGUUUGAGUGUCAUGGAAUUCUCAACUCUAUUUGCUUUUGUGAAUAGAUCUUGGAUUUGGAGGUUUAUUGCUGGUACUUGUGAUCGGCUCCUCUUGAAUGCAUUAGCUCGAACCUUUGCGGAUCAGCUAUCGGUGUGAUAAUUGUCUACGCCGUUGCAGUGAAGCAUAUCAAUGGUCUCGGCUUCCAAUCGUCCUUUACUGGACAAUGACUUUGACCUUUGACCUCAAAUCAGGUAGGAUUACCCGCUGAACUUAAGC
rnacentral:misc_RNA from 1 species